rnacentral:rRNA from 1 species
GCCAUACCGAAAGGAGUGGUGGACUGCACAGGAGAGAGAAUGCUGGCAUGAGUAACGAAAGUGGGGUGCGAAUCCCCACCAUCGAAAGCCUAAGGUUUCCUGGGGAAGGUUCGUCCGCCCAGGGUAAGUCGGGACCUAAGCCGAGGACGAGAGAGUCGUAGGCGAUGGACAACAGGUUGAUAUUCCUGUACCGCCUUAAGCGAUUGAGAGAAGCAGUGACACAGAAGGAUAGGCCAAGCGGGUUGAUGGUAGGACCCGUCCAAGUAUUGAGGCUGGGGAGAUAGUGAAGUACGUCUUCCCAUAAGGCUGGGAUACGAUGGGGACAGAACAUAAGUAUGGAAGUGGCUGAAUUCACGCUGGCGAGAAAAGCUGCUAUCGAGCGAAGAGGCGCCCGUACCGCAAACCGACACAGGUAGGCGAGGAGAGAAUCCUAAGAUGAGCGAGAUAACCCCUGUUAAGGAACUCGGCAAAAUGACUCCGUAACUUCGGGAUAAGGAGUGCCUGGAAACAGGCCACAGUAAAUAGGCCCAAGCGACUGUUUAGCAAAAACACAGGUCUGUGCGAAAUCGAGAGAUGAAGUAUACGGGCUGACGCCUGCCCAGUGCUGGAAGGUUAAGGGGAACUGUCAGGGCAACCGAAGCAGUGAACUGAAGCCCCAGUGAACGGCGGCCGUAACUAUAACGGUCCUAAGGUAGCGAAAUUCCUUGUCGGGUAAGUUCCGACCCGCACGAAUGGCGUAACGACUUGGCCACUGUCUCAACAGGGGACUCGGUGAAAUUGUAGUACCGGUGAAGAUGCCGGUUACCCGCGACUAGACGGAAAGACCCCGUAGAGCUUUACUGUAACUUGGUAUUGAAUUUCGGCAUUGGAUGUACAGCAUAGGUGGGAGGCAGAGAACUGCUUGCGCCAGCAGGCAGGGAGCCGCCAUUGGGAUACCACUCUUCUAAUGUUGAAACUCUAACAACGCGCCAUGAACUGGGUGUUGGACAGUGCCAGGUGGACAGUUUGACUGGGGCGGUCGCCUCCGAAAGGGUAACGGAGGCGCCCAAAGGUCUC